rnacentral:rRNA from 1 species
UGUCUAUUAAUUGUAGACCUGUAUGAAAGGAUAAAUGAGGGUCUAACUGUCUCUUAUAAUAAAUCAAUUAAACUGAUCUUCUAGUAAAAAAGCUAGAAUCACUCCACAAGACCAGAAGACCCUGUGAAGCUUAAACUAAAAUAUUAAACCAUAUAAUAUCUAAUUUCGGUUGGGGCGACCUUGGAAUAAAAAAGAACUUCCAAACAAUAUGACCAUAAAUCAUACCAGCAGGCCUACAAGCCAUAAACGACCCAGCACAGCUGAUAAUUGAACCAAGUUACUCCAGGGAUAACAGCGCCAUCUUCUUCAAGAGCCCAUAUCAAAAAGAAGGUUUACGACCUCGAUGUUGGAUCAGGACAUCCUGAUGGUGCA